CAGCGUCGGAGCCGCGCAGGGGACGGGAGUGAGAGCGGGAGUGAGAGCAGGAACGACGCAGAGCGGCCGUCGCCUUGCCCGGGUCUCAGGGCGCCUGGCUGAAGAGAGCAUGGCUUCAGUGGCCUGGGCCGUCCUCAAGGUGCUGCUGCUUCUCCCCACUCAGACUUGGAGCCCCGUAGGAGCAGGAAAUCCACCUGACUGUGAUGCCCCACUGGCCUCUGCCUUGCCUAGGUCAUCCUUCAGCAGCUCC
rnacentral:lncRNA from 1 species